CCCGGGGGCCGCGGAAGCUGCCCAGGCGCACGGAGGAGCCAGGGGAUGCCGAGCCCAGCAAGCGACUGCUCGAGAAGCGGGAGCUGGACGCGUAGGAGUAGGACCCAGGGGACAGUGAGGGCGGUGGCCCGAAGGUGGUCUGGAAAAUAAAGAGAGAUGUGUUGCUGCCACCUUCUGGUCAGAAGUUAGAAUGACAUGUCUGCAGUCAAUCCAUCUAAGACUCCAGGAGUUUCAAACCCAGAGAAGAGUUGAAAGAACAUUGCUAGAGGCCCCAAUAUACCCUUCUCCUGGACUUACAGUUGUCAGUAUUUUGCCACAAUUCCUUUGAAAGUAAGUUUCAGACAUCAUGAUAUUUCACCCCUAAAUACUUCAGCAGGCAUCUCCUAAGAACAAAGACAUUUGCCUACAGUACUAUUUCCCCACUCAGGAAAUUUAACAUCAAUACAACAAUAUUAUCUAAUAUACAGUCCUGUUCAAAUUCCCCCAGUUAUCUCAAGGAUGUCCUUCAUAGCUAUUUCCCCCAAUCUGGGAUCAAAGAUCAAGAGUUGUAUUUGGUUAUCACCUGGGCAGAGGAAAGAACCAGAGCAUAAGGGGUAAGAUUGGGAUGAGCUUGGCAUGUCUGAGGAAUUAGAGAAAGGUCAGUGAGGCUGAGCGAGAUGAGUGAGGAGGAGAGGGAAAGGUGAGGCUGGAGGCAUGGGAGGGAGUCAGGGCACGUAGGGCUUUGUAAAUCAGAGUAAAGAGUUUAUAGCUUAUUUUAUUUUAAUGCAAUGAAAAGCCGUUGGAGGGUUUUAAGCAAGGGAAUGACUUGAUCUGAUUUAUGACUUUAAAAGGUCAAUCUGAAGACAAUUUCAGAAUUGGGACAUUCGAUAAUACAACAAUUCCUAGACUUUUAAAAAAGUCAGUGUCAUUUUUUUAAAGGGGGGGAGCAUAUGAAUUUCCUAGGAAAAUAGGAAGGUCAUAAAAGAUUACCAUAACUUGGGGGCUUCAAACAACAAAAAUUCAUUCUCACAGUUCUGGAGGCUGGAAGUCCAAAACCAAGAUGUUGGGAGGGCUGUUCCUCCAAAGGCGGUAGGGGAGAAUCCUUCCUUGCCUCUUCCAGCUCCUGGCGGCUCCUGGUGUUUCCUGGCUCGUGGCGGCGUCUCUAAUCUCUGCCUCUGUCUUCACAUGGCCUUCUUCUCGGUGUCUGUCUUCUCUUUUCUGUCUUGCCAUUAAACUGGAUGACCUGGCUAAUCCAGGAUAAUAUCGAGA